UCACCGCUUGCGCGGGCAGUCUCAUUAGAGUCCCCAGCAUGACCUGUUGGCAACUAGGGAUAAGGGUUGCGCUCGUUGCGGGACUUAACCCAACAUCUCACGACACGAGCUGACGACAGCCAUGCAGCGCCUCCACACCUGUCCCUUGCGGGAAGGCCGUAUUUCUACAGCUGGUCAGGUGCGCUUCGAGCCCAGGUAAGGUUCCUCGCGUAGCGUCGAAUUGAACCACAUGUUCCACCGCUUGUGCGGGCCCCCGUCAAUUCCUUUGAGUUUCGGCCUUGCGACCGUACUCCCCAGGCGGCAUACUUAACGCGUUAGCUCCGGCACGAACGAAAUGAAUCGCUCACACCAAGUAUGCAUCGUUUAGGGCGUGGACUAC
rnacentral:misc_RNA from 1 species